GGGCGCCGGGCCUGGCGGCGCAGUCGCGAGCGCUCGCGGGCCGUCGGCGCCGCCUGGACGCGAAGUUGGCGUCUGUCUUUCCAGCACCGGCCCCUGGGCAGCAAGGACACCUGAGACACCAACAGGCACCCCACCCUCCUCAGAGUCAGUAAGGUGAAGGAGUAAGUAAGGUGUAACCAUCAAAGGAAAGAAAGACACUCCUCAGCUCCAGCCAGACUUCCACCCCUGAGGAAGGAGGGCUGUCACGCCUGGGCGCAAAGAACAACUGAGCUGGCCUGAGAGUGGAGGUGGAAGUCGCGGUCCGCCUGGGCGGCUGCGGCCGCAGAGUGAAGCCUUUUCCACCGCCCGGCCUCUCCGGAGCGCAGUGCCCGCGCGACCGCAUCCAGGGAGCCAGUGGGCACCUCAUUCGCCCCCUGGCGGCGCCGGGGACGUGCCGGACGCCGCCGCGGAAUGAGCUGUCCACAGCAGCACUGGGCGCUGAGCGAGAUCAUGGAAGAAUCUGGCAGCGGCUGGGAACCGGGGAGUCAGGCUGCCUUCGGAAGAAAAGGGGGGAGGGUGGAUGGAACAAAGCAACUGUAAGAUUUGGGGGUUUCCCGCAGAUCCACGUGCUCCACAUCCAGCGUGGGCUUCCCCACUACUGUGAUGACUGACAGACAGAGAGGAAUCUCAUCCCCCAGUGGUCCUCCCUCACCUCAUCCAAUCUCCUUGGACAUAAAAGCAUCCCUCCUUCUCGCCCUUUCUGGAAAAUAUCUCGCAUAUCUCCCCUCCUCCUGCAGUGACCUGACUAUGGUGGUUUGGGCCCAUCCAGUCACCCUGGGCCUGUCUGCCCCUUAAGAACUCUGAGGCUAUGCCAGGGGUUCUUAGGAGAGCAGCAACAGUCAAAAAGUGAUCCCUUGAGUGCCCUUGGUAGUCUGGCACUUCCCUAGGCCUCAUGGGAGGUGAAAGAUCUUGACCUCUGGAUGCUUUCAGUCUCAGGAGACAAGUACACUCAGGAAACAAUGGGCACAGCCAAUGGCCUAGGAGCAGGAGCCUCAGGGGAGGGCAUGGUGGGGAUGGGCCGGAGUGUGAACACUGGAGCUGUUAGAACUUGCUAAGCAGACAGGACUUAGGAAAAAGAAAGAAUAGUCCUUGCCCCAUCUGAGGUGAAAUAGAGGGCUGGUAUGGGAGGGCUGGGGCUCACCCCAGAGGCCCUGUGAAGGUCUGCUUCUGCAGUGGGAGAGCCAGAGGGAAGGGCAAGAGAUGGGGGCUAGAAGCCCCUUUGGGAGAAAGCAGCAGUAACCUGUUCUGCAGCACUGACUGAGGCAGGGGGAAGGCCACCACUUGCACUGUCCUGAGGGGCAUGUGUGCAGGUGAGGAAGCAGGGGUCCUGGGCCUCUUCAAGAGGUCGGGUCAUACACUGAACAAAAAAAAGAGAUUGGGCGAGACUUAGAUAUUUUUGUCAGGUAGUAGGAGAGGGAGGGGAGAGAAAGCAGCUCCAUACUAGAUCCAAAGGCAAAAAGAUUAAGAUGAGAGUUAUGG